GGGUUGUGAGGUUAAGCGACUAAGCGUACACGGUGGAUGCCCUGGCAGUCAGAGGCGAUGAAGGACGUGCUAAUCUGCGAUAAGCGUCGGUAAGGUGAUAUGAACCGUUAUAACCGGCGAUUUCCGAAUGGGGAAACCCAGUGUGUUUCGACACACUAUCAUUAACUGAAUCCAUAGGUUAAUGAGGCGAACCGGGGGAACUGAAACAUCUAAGUACCCCGAGGAAAAGAAAUCAACCGAGAUUCCCCCAGUAGCGGCGAGCGAACGGGGAGCAGCCCAGAGCCUGAAUCAGUGUGUGUGUUAGUGGAAGCGUCUGGAAAGGCGCGCGAUACAGGGUGACAGCCCCGUACACAAAAAUGCACAUGCUGUGAGCUCGAUGAGUAGGGCGGGACACGUGGUAUCCUGUCUGAAUAUGGGGGGACCAUCCUCCAAGGCUAAAUACUCCUGACUGACCGAUAGUGAACCAGUACCGUGAGGGAAAGGCGAAAAGAACCCCGGCGAGGGGAGUGAAAAAGAACCUGAAACCGUGUACGUACAAGCAGUGGGAGCCUCUUUUAUGGGGUGACUGCGUACCUUUUGUAUAAUGGGUCAGCGACUUAUAUUCUGUAGCAAGGUUAACCGAAUAGGGGAGCCGAAGGGAAACCGAGUCUUAACUGGGCGUUAAGUUGCAGGGUAUAGACCCGAAACCCGGUGAUCUAGCCAUGGGCAGGUUGAAGGUUGGGUAACACUAACUGGAGGACCGAACCGACUAAUGUUGAAAAAUUAGCGGAUGACUUGUGGCUGGGGGUGAAAGGCCAAUCAAACCGGGAGAUAGCUGGUUCUCCCCGAAAGCUAUUUAGGUAGCGCCUCGUGAAUUCAUCUCCGGGGGUAGAGCACUGUUUCGGCAAGGGGGUCAUCCCGACUUACCAACCCGAUGCAAACUGCGAAUACCGGAGAAUGUUAUCACGGGAGACACACGGCGGGUGCUAACGUCCGUCGUGAAGAGGGAAACAACCCAGACCGCCAGCUAAGGUCCCAAAGUCAUGGUUAAGUGGGAAACGAUGUGGGAAGGCCCAGACAGCCAGGAUGUUGGCUUAGAAGCAGCCAUCAUUUAAAGAAAGCGUAAUAGCUCACUGGUCGAGUCGGCCUGCGCGGAAGAUGUAACGGGGCUAAACCAUGCACCGAAGCUGCGGCAGCGACACUAUGUGUUGUUGGGUAGGGGAGCGUUCUGUAAGCCUGUGAAGGUGUACUGUGAGGUAUGCUGGAGGUAUCAGAAGUGCGAAUGCUGACAUAAGUAACGAUAAAGCGGGUGAAAAGCCCGCUCGCCGGAAGACCAAGGGUUCCUGUCCAACGUUAAUCGGGGCAGGGUGAGUCGACCCCUAAGGCGAGGCCGAAAGGCGUAGUCGAUGGGAAACAGGUUAAUAUUCCUGUACUUGGUGUUACUGCGAAGGGGGGACGGAGAAGGCUAUGUUGGCCGGGCGACGGUUGUCCCGGUUUAAGCGUGUAGGCUGGUUUUCCAGGCAAAUCCGGAAAAUCAAGGCUGAGGCGUGAUGACGAGGCACUACGGUGCUGAAGCAACAAAUGCCCUGCUUCCAGGAAAAGCCUCUAAGCAUCAGGUAACAUCAAAUCGUACCCCAAACCGACACAGGUGGUCAGGUAGAGAAUACCAAGGCGCUUGAGAGAACUCGGGUGAAGGAACUAGGCAAAAUGGUGCCGUAACUUCGGGAGAAGGCACGCUGAUAUGUAGGUGAAGUCCCUCGCGGAUGGAGCUGAAAUCAGUCGAAGAUACCAGCUGGCUGCAACUGUUUAUUAAAAACACAGCACUGUGCAAACACGAAAGUGGACGUAUACGGUGUGACGCCUGCCCGGUGCCGGAAGGUUAAUUGAUGGGGUCAGCGCAAGCGAAGCUCUUGAUCGAAGCCCCGGUAAACGGCGGCCGUAACUAUAACGGUCCUAAGGUAGCGAAAUUCCUUGUCGGGUAAGUUCCGACCUGCACGAAUGGCGUAAUGAUGGCCAGGCUGUCUCCACCCGAGACUCAGUGAAAUUGAACUCGCUGUGAAGAUGCAGUGUACCCGCGGCAAGACGGAAAGACCCCGUGAACCUUUACUAUAGCUUGACACUGAACAUUGAGCCUUGAUGUGUAGGAUAGGUGGGAGGCUUAGAAGUGUGGACGCCAGUCUGCAUGGAGCCGACCUUGAAAUACCACCCUUUAAUGUUUGAUGUUCUAACGUGGACCCGUGAUCCGGGUUGCGGACAGUGUCUGGUGGGUAGUUUGACUGGGGCGGUCUCCUCCUAAAGAGUAACGGAGGAGCACGAAGGUUGGCUAAUCCUGGUCGGACAUCAGGAGGUUAGUGCAAUGGCAUAAGCCAGCUUGACUGCGAGCGUGACGGCGCGAGCAGGUGCGAAAGCAGGUCAUAGUGAUCCGGUGGUUCUGAAUGGAAGGGCCAUCGCUCAACGGAUAAAAGGUACUCCGGGGAUAACAGGCUGAUACCGCCCAAGAGUUCAUAUCGACGGCGGUGUUUGGCACCUCGAUGUCGGCUCAUCACAUCCUGGGGCUGAAGUAGGUCCCAAGGGUAUGGCUGUUCGCCAUUUAAAGUGGUACGCGAGCUGGGUUUAGAACGUCGUGAGACAGUUCGGUCCCUAUCUGCCGUGGGCGCUGGAGAACUGAGGGGGGCUGCUCCUAGUACGAGAGGACCGGAGUGGACGCAUCACUGGUGUUCGGGUUGUCAUGCCAAUGGCACUGCCCGGUAGCUAAAUGCGGAAGAGAUAAGUGCUGAAAGCAUCUAAGCACGAAACUUGCCCCGAGAUGAGUUCUCCCUGACCCUUUAAGGGUCCUGAAGGAACGUUGAAGACGACGACGUUGAUAGGCCGGGUGUGUAAGCGCAGCGAUGCGUUGAGCUAACCGGUACUAAUGAACCGUGAGGCUUAACCUUACAACGCCGAAGCUGUU
rnacentral:rRNA from 1 species